rnacentral:lncRNA from 1 species
UAUCGAGUGAGAAGGGUAGAGAAAGUAGUCCGUCAAGGUGGAAGUGCAACGAGGCUUCUACACCAAUACUCAGUUCCACUUUGUUUCCCUUUUAUUUGUACUUUAAUUUAUUUUAUUUUUGACUAAAUUUUGAUCUUUUUCUAUGCCUAUUUUCCAUUAGCUUGUUAAAAAUUAAUUAUAAGCCUUGUUGUGGUGUAGGUAGG